UGGGGAAUCUUGCACAAUGGAGGAAACUCUGAUGCAGCGACGCCGCGUGAGCGAAGAAGCCUUUCGGGGUGUAAAGCUCUUACGCCAGGGACGAUAAUGACGGUACCUGGAGAAGCAGCUGCGGCUAACUACGUGCCAGCAGCCGCGGUAAUACGUAGGCAGCAAGCGUUGUUCGGAAUUACUGGGCGUAAAGGGUGCGUAGGCGGCGCUCUAAGUUUGGUGUGAAAUCUCCCGGCUUAACUGGGAGGGUGCACUGAAAACUGGGGCGCUCGAGUAUGGGAGAGGAGAGCGGAAUUCCCGGUGUAGCGGUGAAAUGCGUAGAGAUCAGGAGGAACACAUGCGGUGCAGACGGCUUUCUGGACCAUCACUGACGCUGAGGCACGAAAGCGUGGGUAGCAAACA
rnacentral:rRNA from 1 species